UACGUAGGGUGCAAGCGUUAAUCGGAAUUACUGGGCGUAAAGCGUGCGCAGGCGGUUUGGUAAGACAGAUGUGAAAUCCCCGGGCUUAACCUGGGAAUUGCAUUUGUGACUGCCCGGCUAGAGUUUGGCAGAGGAGGGUAGAAUUCCACGUGUAGCAGUGAAAUGCGUAGAUAUGUGGAGGAAUACCGAUGGCGAAGGCAGCCCCCUGGGUCAAGACUGACGCUCAUGCACGAAAGCGUGGGGAGCAAACAGG
rnacentral:rRNA from 1 species